UAUAGCAGUGUGUAGUGAUGGUUCUAUAACAGGUGAUAUUGUUUAUCUCUCUGGUGUUAUAACAAAUGAAAUUCCUACACAAUGUUCAUGCUCUUUAUCUUCUGAAUCACCAACCAAUGUUACAAUAAAUACUGUUCGGAGACCAAAUGGAUGCGGGUAUAAAUUCCAAUUCUUAUAUAUAACUGGGGCCAGGACAUACUCAUGUAGAGAUAUAUACGGAUCAGUCAUACCCAUACAAACUGGUGAUAUCGUCGAGAUAAACUUAUUACAAGAUGAUACACGUAAAACGAGAGAUUUCGCGGCCUGUGUGGAAAUAAAAUCAGAUUCAUCUCUAACACUGUCAUGUGGUAAAUCAAGAUGGUCAACAAGUUAUAAACCUACUGAUAUAGAAACAUCUUUCACAGAAAGUAUAACGCCACCCGGUGAAGAAUCUAGCCAAUCAACAUCUACUAGUGAAUCUAGCCAAUCAACAUCUACUAGUGAAUCUAACAAACCAACAACACCAACAUCUAAGAAUGAUAACUCGAUGUCUUCUAUAAUUGGUGGAGCUGUAGGAGGAUCAAUUGUGAUAAUCGGCAUUAUAAUUAUCAUAGUAAUCUGUGUAAUACGUAAGAAGAACGGGGACAAUAUUUAUGACAGUCCAGAAGCUGUAGAGACGGAUCCUCAUCCUUACCAGAGCAUUCACAGAUAACAGAUAUGGGAAGAUUACUCUGACUAAUAAACAGAAUAAUGAAUUGGUUAAUCAGGAGAAUUAUCCAUAUAACAGUAUUAACAAGCCAACAGUGAGGCUGAUGUCCCCCGCCGAAAUCCAAAAAUAAAUAGAUGACACAUAUUUAUUAAUCGCACAUUUAUUUUUUUCAAAAGUAUCGAGCAAUCAAACUAUACACUAAGUUUCAGCACUCUCCAUCAGAUAGAAUCAAAGUUAUCUUGUCCCAAAGCAUCGACUAAUGUAAAUCAUUGAACUCAGCCAUGACAUGAC